UACGUAGGGUGCAAGCGUUAAUCGGAAUUACAGGGCGUAAAGCGUGCGCAGGCGGCUAUGCAAGACAGAUGUGAAAUCCCCGGGCUUAACCUGGGAAUGGCGAUGGUGACUGCAAGGCUAGAGUUUGGCAGAGGGGGGUAGAAUUCCACGUGUAGCAGUGAAAUGCGUAGAGAUGUGGAGGAACACCGAUGGCGAAGGCAGCCCCCUGGGUCAAAACUGACGCUCAUGCACGAAAGCGUGGGGAGCAAACAGG
rnacentral:rRNA from 1 species